rnacentral:rRNA from 1 species
UACGUAGGGUGCGAGCGUUAAUCGGAAUUACUGGGCGUAAAGCGUGCGCAGGCGGUUCGUUAAGUUCGUUGUGAAAGCCCCGGGCUCAACCUGGGAACUGCAAUGGAAACUGGCGGGCUUGAGUGUGGCAGAGGGGGGGUGGAAUUCCGCGUGUAGCAGUGAAAUGCGUAGAGAUACGGAGGAACACCGAUGGCGAAGGCAGCCCCCUGGGCCAACACUGACGCUCAGCACGAAAGCGUGGGGAGCAAAAGGG